CUGCAUAUUUAUAUUGUGGGCUGCCUAAUCUUUGGAGCUCGGAGCCAACUGUCUGCGGUGCUGGUAAAGCUUGGCGCUUUGCUUAUGUUUCAUUUGGUAAAAUCUACAUGUCGAUGUCGGGGCCAAGUACCUGUCCAUGUUUUCAUUUAAUUUGAAACAUUUUCUUUACUUAAAUUACAGAAACACAUGGCUUCUGGCUAGGCGGUUGGGUUGGAUAAGCGUGGCUUGGUUGGGCAUGGCUCGGUGUCACUCGGCUGCGCUUAUCUUUUAUCGGGCCAAACGUCUUUGUUGCUUUCAGUUGUUUGCCGCCAGCCCGAAAUUGGGUGCAAAAAACGUUUUAGACUUGCCCCAAACAAAACAGAAAAACAGGAAAAAAAUUGGUGAAGGUAUGUUUAC